rnacentral:rRNA from 1 species
GACGAACGCUGGCGGCGUGCUUAACACAUGCAAGUCGAACGGAGUGGCGAACGGGUGAGUAACACGUGGGUGACCUGCCCUGCACUUCGGGAUACGCCUGGGAAACUGGGUCUAAUACCGGAUAGUGUGGGAUGGGCCCGCGGCCUAUCAGCUUGUUGGUGGGGUAAUGGCCGACCACGGCGGCGACGGGUAGCCGGCCUGAGAGGGUGGACGGGCAGAUUGGGACUGAGACAGGGCCCAGACUGCAACGGGAGGCAGCAGGUGGGAAUAUUGCACAAGGGGCGGAAGCCGGAGGCAGCGACGCCGCGUGGGGGAUGACGGCCGUCGGGUUGUAAACUCCUUUCACCAUCGACGCGGUAGAUGGAGAAGAAGCACCGGCUAACUACGUGCCAGCCGCCGCGGUAAUAC